ensembl:lncRNA
GUUUUUUGUUUCUAACAGAGAAAACGACUGUCCACUUCCGUUUUACCGUUUUGGAUUUAAAACGAAAAACGAGAAAACGAGGGUUUUCGUUUUCUCGUUUUUACGGUAAAAGGGACUAUCAAAACGUACACGGACCAAAUAUGUUUCAGUGGCGUUGAUCAUGUCAUUUCGGUCAGUAGUGCCAUAUUAAACAUGUCUCUGUUAGUUCAGUCAUACAUAUGAUAUAACUAUGAUGUCAUCAUCAUGAUGCCCCAGUUAGUGGGGCAUCUUUUUUUUUUAAUUAUACAUUUUCUUUUGGUUUUUUUUCACGUACGGCAAUUCCACACUGCCACUACCAUCGGAAGGCAGCACCAUCUGACGGGAGCCAUCGGACGGAAGCCAUCGGACGGCAGCGCGUAAAUCAAACAUCCGCACGAGUACGUCUUGCGGAAGCAAAUGUCCGUCUCACGGGAGAUAUUUGCUCGCUCGCGCAACGUGUACUUGGUUGCUCGCGAGGCUAAUCUCUGCUCGCGCUCGAAGAUUUUCUACUUGCUCAUUGUUGUUCUUUUUGACAGUAAGGGAGCGGAGCCAGUCAUUAUGGUAUCUCUACAUCUAAUUGGUUACAAACCCCGUCUUUUGAUUGGCUGGAGUUAUGCACUACUGGAGGUCGUUAUGGUUAAAAAAGUUAGUUAGUUAGUGGGG